GACCUCGGAUCAGGUAGGGAUACCCGCUGAACUUAAGCAUAUCAAUAAGCGGAGGAAAAGAAACCAACAGGGAUUGCCCUAGUAACGGCGAGUGAAGCGGCAACAGCUCAAAUUUGAAAUCUGGCCCUUUCAGGGUCCGAGUUGUAAUUUGUAGAAGAUGCUUCGGGUGUGGCUCCGGUCUAAGUUCCUUGGAACAGGACGUCAUAGAGGGUGAGAAUCCCGUAUGUGACUGGACAGGCACCCUUUGUAAAGCUCCUUCGACGAGUCGAGUUGUUUGGGAAUGCAGCUCUAAAUGGGUGGUAUAUUUCAUCUAAAGCUAAAUAUUGGCCAGAGACCGAUAGCGCACAAGUAGAGUGAUCGAAAGAUGAAAAGCACUUUGGAAAGAGAGUUAAACAGUACGUGAAAUUGUUGAAAGGGAAACGAUUGAAGUCAGUCAUGCUCUUUGGUAUUUA
rnacentral:rRNA from 1 species